UGGAAUUACCAUAACUUUUCCUAGAGAUACUGCUGCAGCCUUGAUCCUUGGUAUCUCUUAGCAGGUCUCAAACUGUGGGGCGGGACCCCAAAGUAGGUUGCAACCCUGUUUUAAUGGGGUCACCAGGGCUGGCAUCAGACUUGCUGGGGCCUGGGGCCAAAGCCCAAGCCCCACUGCUCAGGCCCAAAGCUGAAGCCAAAACCCAAUAGCUUCAGCCCUGGGCAGCGGGGCUUAGGUUACAGGCACCCUAUCUGGGACUGAAGCCCUGGGGUUUUGGUUUUGCCCCCAUCCCUGCCUGGGGCCCGGGCUUUAGCCCUCCCUUUGGGCGAGCUCAGUUCCCCCUUCCUGGGAUUGUGUAGUAAUUUUUGUUGUCAGAAGGGGGUUGGGGGCAAUGAAGUUGGAGAAACCCUGGUAUAUCUGUAAUGGCAUUUUUUCGGUGCUUGCAACUUAGAUACAAGUGUGUGCCUAUUUAUGCACUUACUCGGGUCAGAUAUUUCCAAUUCCUCUCUGAUUACGUCCUCUUGGAUGGGUACAAUGGGAUUGCUAUCUGUCUCGGAUUUGGAAGACAGGUAUUUGCCUGUAAGCUUGUCAGUGCAGUGUGUGCCUCGCCCAGGUUGGAUCUGGAGUGUGGAUACAACCUGUUUGCACAUGGGGGUGAAACAACCACCUUGUUGCAUUUUUUUAUGCCCUGCUCAGAGCCUGAAUCUGAGGCCAACCUCUCUCAGUGGAGGAGGUACUGUUUGAGGCAGAGGACAAAUCUUAGUUUUGUUUUAAAUGCCGUUGCUUUUCCUUUUAGCUCUUUUUGGAUUUUUUUGCCUUUUUGGUCCGGUUUGCUUGUUGUUGUUGCCCUGCUAUGGUCAGGGCACAGGUUUUUGCAGCUUGCUCUGUAUGGUACCUUGAGCCCCCUGGAUCUCUCUCUCAGGGUCCCUCUCCUACUGCCCAGGGAAUGGGGUUCAUUGCUAGAGUUUACCUAGUUUGAGUUGGGAAGAAUGGGAGCUGAGUACAAGCCCUGCUUCUCUCCCUCCAGGGAAUUUUUAGGGUGUAUGUGUGUGUUGGGGGGGAGGGGAGCUGGAGCCUGAGCCCUUUAGGGGUUUUUUCCUUCUGGUGUUCUGUCCAAGCUGGCUGCUAAAGUCCUCGUCCUUGGAGUCUCUCCCUGGUCUGCUCAGCAACACUGGAUCGUGGUUUUCUGGGUUGGAGUUGCAGCUUCUUGGGGACAGGGUGGGAGUCCAACACAGCCCCACCCCUAGAAGUGCAAGGGUCGGUUGCCUCAGAACAGGCAGGGUAUAAUUUGCCUCCCAAAAAGCCUGUAAAAGCUUCCUCACAAAUAGACCACUGCUUGGAUUUAGCUCGAUGUUUGCACAUCAGUUCUGCCAGGCCUGAAGUGGGGGCUGAGAUCACCAGUCCCGGAGAAGAAAUGGUACACACUACAGCCUGAAAAAAUGGGUAAAGUUGGGAGCAAAUUGAACACUUGACUGCUGCCACAGAGGCAGAAGAUCUGGCAGUAAGCUGCAUAAGGGGGUAUGACUUGAACAGUUUGUGCCACAGCUGUGAGCUGCCUCUGGAAACUGCACCCAGGAGGGCAAUAACCCAUAAUAUAUUGUAAUUGUGGGAGAUGCUGGGCUUCAGAAUGUCAGUGCUGGAAAACUUGAUGCUGAGGACACAGGUAUAGAGAGAGUAUCUCUACUGAGUGCUGGUGCUUAGGAGUGUAUACCAAAGGGACUGUGGUCUGCAGAGCUCGAUGAUACUGGAGUCACACAGUACAGCGUGCGUGUUGCGGUGUUGGAGGGACCCAGUCUGGGUUCUUUACUACUUUUUGACUGUGAAGCCUGAGAUGCAUCCAAGAAAUGGUGACUUGUUUCUUGGUUUCACAAGCACUGAAGAAGGUGACCUAUGCUUAGGCUUGUCUUUGGAACGUCCUCCCCCAGUACAAGGUUGACUGCAUCAAGGAGACCUGUUGUGCCUUUCAAAUCUCAGUAACUGACAACUGAAGUUUCUGGACAAGGAGGCAGCCCAGGAGCUCAGGGCAGAAGCACAUUUCACAGGGGUGCUAACAGUAAUGGACUGCUUGAGAGUUUAUCCUGUGGCCACCCCUCUCUUUUAAGAGUCUGAGGCGAGCUUCGUUGGGCACUCCAAUAGAAAGCUUUAAGUGGGCAUCCCUUGCCUUCUGAGUACACUUCAAGAAGUAGUGUCAGAUAGAACAAUGAUCCAGGAUAUAUUCUUCUCCAAAAUCAAAAAGGCAUCUAGAGUGCCAAUCAUUCAGAGGCAUAGAAAUGACACAUUAGGGACAAGAUUUAAACAUCAGAGAUUUAAGUUCUGCCAUGACGUCUAAGGCCCCUGUAUGGAGAACUGUACUUAAUAUAAUAAAAUUGUUUUGUUGUUUUGCCCACUGGCAAGCUAACUACAACUAAGUAACUACUCUAAUGAGGUGUAAGUGUGGGGAGGAAGGUGGGUAGAGCCCAAGUUCUGUCUCAGUGCUGAGGUGGUUGGCUCUGCUCCACCCUUUAUGCUUUCAUGUUGUUUGGGGGGUGGGGGUAUGGGCACAUCAGGACAUCCAGAGUAAUACUAGAUCUCAGCCAAAGGAAAAAAAGUUGAGCUAGAACUCUAGCUGUGAUACUUCUCAACAAUAUUCUGAUUUCUCAGGACCUUAGCUUACCUCCAUAUCCCCACAUCAGUAUCACCUAUGAAAGUCUGUGUACAACAGGGGUAUCAAACUCAUUUUGUGGCAAAGUCGUGGAUUGGGGGAGAGGUUACUCCUAAGAAAGAAAAUCUUAAAUUAUGUUUAGGUAAGAUGCGAGUUCCUAAUCAGUGGAAGUAAUAACUUAGUUCAUAGUUACAUAUGUUAAACACAUUGACUUAUACAAAGAAACCACACAUUUUAGAUGUAGAAAUAAUUUUACUUGAUCACAAGCCUCAAAUUAACAUUAAAUAUACUAAAUUGAUUACAAGGUAGAUUUAACAAAAAUUUCAAAAGAAGUAUAAAUAGGCUGCAUGUGGGAGAGGAUUGUUAUAUUAGAUAUUUUAUUUCAUGUAACCAGUCAACUUUAAUACUCUGACAUUUUCAGAGUCUGAAAUGUUUAGUGGUAUGUAGCCCAAUUUUGGAUGUCCGGUUGCUAUGACAAGUUACUCAGCAAUUAACAACUCUGAGCAGAUUUUUUUUUUUAAAGGUGCCUCAAUUGCAAGCACUUUGUGAUUGAGGGGACAAUUCAAAAAGACCAACACUAAACUUAGUUCAGAUAAACAUUUUAGACUGGUUCAAUAAAAAGUAAUUUAACAAAUCUAAUUUUCCAGAUGCAUUUACCCCAUACAUAUCAGAGAACAAGAGAUAAGCCAGUGUCCAGGCACAGAAUACAAUUUCAAUUUAAAUACUAAUGAUGAUACUUGAUUGAUCUUAAAACAAUUACAUUUACAGUUAGAGGAAAAUGUAAGUUCUUAUAUCACUUUUAAACAAAAAUCAGAAACUGCAUGUAGCAGCAGAAAUUUAAACCACGUAGUAAGUUAGAGAAAAAAUAAACAUGAUAAAAGUGAAUAAAUCAUUCGCUUGGAGGUCUACAAUCAGAAAACAUUAACACAUAAUAGUGGUUAUUCAAAAUAUAAAAUAUAGUCUAAUUUAAAAUACUUUAAUACUGGUUUUGUAUAAACCACAACUUUGUGUGGAAACAUUAUCUGUAGGGAAAAAAAAAACCUCAACAGUUAUCAUUUGGGUUCUGAACAAGUUGUGAUUUGAAGCCUUUAACUACAAUCACUGCUUUGUGAAUACAUAGGAAAUUUAUACAUUUUAAUCUCAUUUUAAAAAAUCAUUUAAAAAAAUCUUAAACAGCACAGCUAAUUAAAACUGAAGUUUUAAAAGACCCUACUUUUUCAUUAUUUAAGCUGUUUGUUUUAUUUUGACUGAUCAAGCUGAGAAAAAGUUAAUAUUUAUUUUUUACACUGAAGCAACACUGUAAUGUUUGUGUUCCAACUUUGCAGGAGAAUGUUAAUUAACUUAGCUCAUUGGAAUUUGAUUUCUUUUUCAUGUAAACGAUGGAUGUAUUUUUUUUUUAAUAAAAGGACGACAAACUUUUAUAAAUGCUGUAUUUGGAGUCAAAUGGUAUCUGAUCAUGACCUUUUAAAGGUAGAGAAAUUUCAAAAAAAGGACAGUCAACCUGUUUAGGUCCCCAAAACGAUGUUCCUUAUUAGCUGUUUAUAUAAUUAUACAACCUUUUGCUUGAAUUCUCGAGAGAUCACUCCAUCUUCCUAUGAAGCACAUAGGCCUUCCCUUGAGGAAGGUAUAUUUGGUGGCCUACAUGGCUUAGGUAUG